UGCGAACCUAGAGUCUAUCACUUCGACUCUACCUAUAGUCACCUCCAAGGCUAUUGGGACAUCACAUAAUCCCUACAAUCUCCAUAUUGAUGCUUCCGAAGCCUUGGUGAGCACCACUCUUCAUCGAGCUUCGAUCCUCUGCACGACCUGGCCAAUGAGGUGUGAAGCCAGCUGUGCAGACCUCCUCAUCAUCGCAAUAUAUUUCAGUCUUGGAGCUAUUCGAGAGA
rnacentral:lncRNA from 1 species